UCAGCAAUCAUCGAUCUAUUGUUCUCGAUUGCGAAUUGGAAACAGCAAGAGGAACCAAAACAAACAAUGUUUUGGUUCUGCUGCAAUCGGCAGCAAUGUGCUCCAACGAAAUCUGAAGUUUAAAUACCAGAAGUUUAAAUACCAGUAAAUAGCAGUAAUUACUGCUCUAGAGAACUAUUGCUGGUUUGGUCGAGAGGUUGGUGAAUUUCAUUGUGACCUGGAUAGCAGUGGUCCGAUUCCCGAAAAAAUGUCAACUUUCUCAGAUCCCCUCAUGGCCUGAUGCAAUCGAUGUACGAUCUUGGAAGAGUGGCUGACGACAGUUAUCGUAUUUGGUUAAAAGGGCUACCGGACUUCAGACUAUACGUUACUGAAAAUUUGAAUCCCCUAGAAAGGUCCUACGAUUACCUUAAGGUGAUAAAUGUUGGAGUUAACAACGAUGUCAGGCAUGUAUUUCACCACAAUUGGGGUUCCGUCAUAAGAUGGAUUGAUAUUUACAAUGACGCUUCUGUGAGUUACAUCGUGAGCGAGAUCAACAAAAUUCAAAGUGCUCAUGAAUGAUGAACGUUUUCAGUUUAUGGAUCAGUCUCAGUACAGGUGGUAUUGGUAUAUUAUACGAGUCUCAUGCGCAAGAAUAGAAGAGAAAAGUAGAAAGAGAAUACAAAAAAAUAAAUCAUGUUUAUUAGAAAACAUUUUUUUACAUAUAAAUCUGACUCUGUGACGCCAUGAAAUAACUUACUUAGCUUAAUCCGUA